rnacentral:rRNA from 1 species
AUACGGAGGGUGCGAGCGUUACUCGGAAUCACUGGGCGUAAAGCGCGCGCAGGCGGCUUGAUAAGUUGGAUGUGAAAGCCUACGGCUCAACCGUAGAACUGCAUCCAAAACUGUCAAGCUAGAGUCUGGGAGGGGAAGAUGGAAUUAGUUGUGUAGGGGUGAAAUCCGUAGAGAUAACUAGGAAUACCAAAAGCGAAGGCGAUCUUCUGGAACAGUACUGACGCUGAGGCGCGAAAGCGUGGGGAGCAAACAGGAUUAGAAACCCCGGUAGUCC